UUCGGUUACAACCGUCUGAGAGGUGGCCGAUUUUAAUGGAUCCAUGAUGUUAUUAGGUUUAUAGUAACAUCUCCUCAAUUACUCUGGGAGGGAUGCAGAUCAAGAGCAAAAGAGUAAAAAAUAAAUGGGCGGGAUUUUCCCUUGCUAGAUCUUCAACCUUAUGAAUGGAGCCGUAUGAUCAUCCAAUUUCAAUACACAGAUAGAAGGAUUAAGACAAAGAAAUUGUAUUUUCCAUGAAAGCGACUAGAGGGAUGGGUUUCCUUGAAUGGGAGGAUGCCCAUCAUUGUUGAUGAAGUAAUAACAUGUGAACCAACAAGCAAACAGAGAUGACUUUUGGCUGGUGAAGGAUAACUUUAUACUUGACAUUACAUGACCUUCUAUCAGAAAGUGUCUGAAUUAUUGUAUGGCAAAGAUGUAUACUGGCUACAGAUGCAGAAUGCUGGCGCACUUCAGAAAGUAUUAACCCAUCGAAGAAGCACGUGCAUUCCUUUUGGAAACAUCCUGCCAGAAAUUUGGUCACAUUUGUGUGACUUGUUUGCUAUGGAAAAUAUCAAGAAACGACGUGAUGAUUAUGAAAACUUAAGGCCUAAGGGACAUGCGCAGUUUAAGAGACGGCAAAGGCUUCAAGGGCAUACGUUGUCAGUUUUAGGGGACAAAUAAAUCAUGCUAUACAAAUUCAAAGAGAAAAUGAAUCAACUUAAAGAAGCCAACACAAGUUUCAGGCACCUUUCGAAAAUAAACAUUUUUUGGAAAAUUCGGCUCGAACAGUUGGUAAAAGCCCAGACUCUCAUCAUUGGAUAAGGGGAACCUCAAUUACUAAGGGGCACCCAGGUCACCCCAAAAGGCAUCUGCUAUUCGCACCCAGUACAGGAUUAGGGGGAGAUCAUCUUCUUCAUUUAAAUUUUGUUUUUGG